GGCAUCCUCAGAGCCGAUGACGCUGUUGAAGCUGUGGAUCACGGUGCUUCCGCAAUCGUCGUGUCCAACCACGGUGGUCGUUACAUGGACGGCGUUCCUGCUACGCUGGAGGUGCUGCCGGAGUUGGUGCGUGCCGUGAGUGGCCGCUGCGAAGUCUACAUGACGGCGGCGUCCGGUGUGG
rnacentral:lncRNA from 1 species